UACGAAGGGGGCUAGCGUUGCUCGGAAUCACUGGGCGUAAGGCGCACGUAGGCGGCUUUUUAAGUCAGGGGUGAAAUCCUGGAGCUCAACUCCAGAACUGCCUUUGAUACUGAGAAGCUUGAGUCCGGGAGAGGUGAGUGGAACUGCGAGUGUAGAGGUGAAAUUCGUAGAUAUUCGCAAGAACACCAGUGGCGAAGGCGGCUCACUGGCCCGGUACUGACGCUGAGGCGCGAAAGCCAGGGGAGCAAACGGG
rnacentral:rRNA from 1 species